UAGGGAAUCUUCCGCAAUGGACGCAAGUCUGACGGAGCAACGCCGCGUGAGUGAAGAAGGAUUUCGGUUCGUAAAACUCUGUUGUUAGAGAAGAACAGCGCAUAGAGUAACUGUUAUGCGUGUGACGGUAUCUAACCAGAAAGCCACGGCUAACUACGUGCCAGCAGCCGCGGUAAUACGUAGGUGGCAAGCGUUGUCCGGAUUUAUUGGGCGUAAAGCGAGCGCAGGCGGUCAAUUAAGUCUGAUGUGAAAGCCCCCGGCUCAACCGGGGAGGGUCAUUGGAAACUUGUUGACUUGAGUGCAGAAGAGGAGAGUGGAAUUCCAUGUGUAGCGGUGAAAUGCGUAGAUAUAUGGAGGAACACCAGUGGCGAAGGCGACUCUCUGGUCUGUAACUGACGCUGAGGCUCGAAAGCGUGGGUAGCAAACAGG
rnacentral:rRNA from 1 species